CCCGCCGCCGCCGCGUUCAUCCCCAGGACCCGUUGCCGGGAUGGCGGGCAGACCCCCGCCCGCCUGGCCCCUGGGCCUGCUGAGCUUCGGACGUGGCAGUGCACUUCACCCAGGAAGGGGGUGGGUCUGGACCUACGGCAGAGGGCCCUGAAUAGGGACUUGAUGCUGGAGAUUCACAGGAACCUGGCCUCACUGAGUACGGGGUCUUAGACCCAGGCCUUUCCUCUCACCCACCCUAGCCCCCAUCAGAGCUCAGAGGGGUCCUGGAGGGGCCAGGUGGGCUGGGACCAGAGUACCCUCCUCCCAUUCAGACCAGAGCCCAGGAUUUCCAGGAUCCAAACCAGAUCUGAUCUCCCGCUGGAGUAAGGAAAGGAGCCCUGGGACUUGGACCUGCUAGGGGCCGAGGAAAGAGAGACCCUGGGAAACCUCAGCAUGGGAGAUGCAGGUUUGGAGAACUUUCCAGGAACCCAGCCCUGUGCCAGGUGCCUCACUCUCUCCCCCCAACUCCACAGGACAAGUGUCAGUUAAAACCCUCAACUGCAAGGAACAGAAAACUCGAAUCAAACUGGCCAAAGCAAGAGGGCGCAGCCCUCGACUCAGGUCAGGAAGUUGCUCUUGUCAGCGCCGGGGCAAGAGUGAAGUAUCUAACACUCCUCCAGCCCAGAACACGUCCAGCUCCCAGGACGGCUGGUGGCCAUGCAUGGCAGCGAGCCCACUGGCUGACCAUCGUCCAGUCAGGAUGUGUCUGCUCACCUGCCCUUUGCCGUCCUGUGUCACCCCUUCCCAGGGAGCCCCCACCUGUGGUGGAGGUGGCAGCUAAGGCCUCAUAGAUCCCGCUCACAUCCAGCUCUGCUGCUUCAUCACCAGCUGAGUGGCUGGGCAAGUUAUGUACCCUCUGUGCCUCAGUUUCCCCAGGGUUGCUCUGAGAACUGACUGCAUUAUCCAUGUGGAGAGCCUGGAACUGCUAACCACUGUCAUCACAGCAAGUCCAGGACAAGAGGAAGCCCUCAGUGCCAACGCUACAAACUCACAUCCUGAGCAGGUUGCCUGCCCAUCUCAAACCAAGCAGUCAAGCCCAGUGGUCAAGUCUCCUAAAAUGGGUCCAUUGCCACAAGAAAGGGAACUGGACAUUGGGCAGGCAAAUCUGUGGAUGUCCAGCCAGUGGGAUGUGGACUUGGGCGCCUGCCCAGUGGGGCUCUGAGCUAAUCCCUGGGCCCUUCUGGUCCAUCUAGUGCCUUGUGCAUAGAAGGUGGGCACAUAGCACUGGCCAGGAGAGAACGUUCCUGGGGCUGGGAGCCAGGAGGGAUGUGUGGUGGAGGCCGCAGUGCAGACCCGUGUCCUUGCUGCAGCCUGGUCCUGGACCUCCGGCUGCCUGCUGCUGCAGGUCUGCACCUCACGGCCAGCCUGCUUCACAACAGGGCUGCGCUGCAGGCCCUCCCCAGCAUGUGCACUCACCCCCUGUGCAGCGUGCUGACAGCUUCUGGGGAGCCGGGAACCCUAGUGGGUUUCUAGACCUGUGUUCUCCAAUAUGGGAGCUGCUAGCCACGUGUGGCUCUUUAAGUUGAAUCCAUUAAUUUAAAUAAAAUUUGGAAUUUGGCUCUUCGAUGGCAGCAGCCA